ACACUCGAGAACGCUCAAGGGAAGAGUAGACGCGCCUGGGUGGCUGGGUGACUCUGACCACUGGAAGCAGUUAAUCACAUGAUUGUAAAGGAAUAUGCGAAGCUGAUGAGACUAGAGCUAAAGUUCUUUCUCUUGGAUUCCUCAGUUAGGUGCUUGAUCAAGGCUGCGUAUGAGCUUAUUAACAUCGAUGGUGUGCUAAAUGUGAUCAUAAGGAACCUG